rnacentral:rRNA from 1 species
CCUACGGGAGGCAGCAGUGAGGAAUAUUGGUCAAUGGACGAGAGUCUGAACCAGCCAAGUAGCGUGAAGGAUGACUGCCCUAUGGGUUGUAAACUUCUUUUAUAUGGGAAUAAAAUGUUCCAAGUGUGGGAUUUUGUAUGUACCAUAUGAAUAAGGAUCGGCUAACUCAGUGCCAGCAGCCGCGGUAAUACGGAGGAGCCGAGCGUUAUCCGGAUUUAUUGGGUUUAAAGGGAGCGUAGGUGGAUUGUUAAGUCAGUUGUGAAAGUAUGCGGCUCAACCGUAAAAUUGCAGUUGAAACUGGCAGUCUUGAGUACAGUAGAGGUGGGCGGAAUUCGUGGUGUAGCGGUGAAAUGCUUAGAUAUCACGAAGAACUCCGAUUGCGAAGGCAGUUCACUGGACUGCAACUGACACUGAGGCUCGAAAGUGUGGGUAUCAAACAGGAUUAGAUACCCCAGUAGUC